AAUCAACGCUGGCGGCGUGCCUAACACAUGCAAGUCGAACGCGAAAGGGGCUUCGGUCCGUGAGUAGAGUGGCGUCCGGGUGAGUAACGCGUGGGUAAUCUACCCUUGGGUGGGGAAUAACCAGUCGAAAGAUUGGCUAAUACCGCAUAAUGCAGCGGCUCGACAUCGAGACAGUUGUUAAAGCAGCAAUGCGCCAGAGGAGGAGCCUGCGUCUGAUUAGCUGUUGGCGGGGUAACGGCCCACCAAGGCUAUGACCGGGUAGCUGGUCUGAGAGGAUGGCCAGCCACAUUGGGACUGAGAAACGGCCCAGACUCCUACGGAGGCAGCAGUGGGAAUAUUGCGCAAUGGUCGAAAGACUGACGCAGCGACGCCGCGUGGAGGAUGACGCCUCGGGUGGUAACGUA
rnacentral:rRNA from 1 species